rnacentral:ncRNA from 1 species
CCUGUGGAUCGUUACAUAAACGAAAGUAGUUUUAAAUGAAGAUAUUUAAAUCCCAAAUAUUGACAUUUUUAACAAAAUCGAACGGGAUGAAGCAGGAA